rnacentral:rRNA from 1 species
UACGUAGGUGGCGAGCGUUGUCCGGAUUUACUGGGCGUAAAGGAUGCGUAGGUGGAUGUUUAAGUCAGAUGUGAAAUACCCGAGCUUAACUUGGGUGCUGCAUUUGAAACUGGACAUCUAGAGUGCAGGAGAGGUAAGUGGAAUUCCUAGUGUAGCGGUGAAAUGCGUAGAGAUUAGGAAGAACACCAGUGGCGAAGGCGACUUACUGGACUGUAACUGACACUGAGGCAUGAAAGCGUGGGUAGCAAACAGG